rnacentral:rRNA from 1 species
UACGUAGGGUGCGAGCGUUAAUCGGAAUUACUGGGCGUAAAGCGUGCGCAGGCGGUUCGUUGUGUCGGCGGUGAAAGCCCCGGGCUCAACCUGGGAAUGGCCGUUGAAACUGGCGAACUGGAGUGUGGCAGAGGGGGGUGGAAUUCCGCGUGUAGCAGUGAAAUGCGUAGAGAUGCGGAGGAACACCGAUGGCGAAGGAAGCCCCCUGGGCUAACACUGACGCUCAGGCACGAAAGCGUGGGGAGCAAACAGG